UUUUAUUCCUUUCUUUUCUUUCCUUUUUCUUUUUUCCUCUUUUUUUUCCCCCCUUCCAUCUUCUUCCUCACGCAAACCCGGCAUCUCCCGCCGCCGACCUCGACCAGCAUUUCCUUGCCGCUGACCUUGACCGCCAGUCUAGAUUCGAGCCGCGAGCAGCCCAGCUUCGACUUUGGCUUCUUCGCGCCUCAACCGUUCACACCGCCCAGAUCUGAUUCCGGUCUCCCAUUGAAGCCGCUGCCCAGAUCUGCUCCCGCCAACUGAAGCCGUGCUGUCAACACCCAGCCACCCAGGUCCGGCCGCCUAGACAUACGCACUCCCAGCCAGCCGUGCCCUCCCCUCGCCAUUAGCUUGACCUUAUCGUCGAACCAGCUUCCACUGCAAAUCUUCUUCGCCACUUGGUUCUGAUCGAAUCUUGGUUAGAGUAUGAUUUUUUUGCGUUAAUUGGGGGUUUUGGAGGAGAAUUUGUGUGUUGUCCAACAGGUGUUAAAGUUCAUUCUUCGUGGCGUUUUGAUUCAAGACUUGAAAUGUUUAGGGUGUUGCUCAUCAAAGUAAAGGCCAAUUAUCUUUUGAAGUUUGGUAGCCAACAGAAUUGGGUUUUGGAAUUAAGUUUAGACCGAGCUAUAGUUUAGGUGUUGCUUGUCUUGAAAAGGAUAAGCUUGCUUGGGUUUCUUUAGAUUUAACUUGAGGUAAGUAAUCUUACUACUGAAACUGCCCACGGGCCAGACAUUAGAUGUAUGCUAGCAUGAUAAAUAAAUAUUAUGGCAGAAUGACAGCAUGAUAGACUAAUAGUAUAAUAUGAUCAAAGUA